rnacentral:pre_miRNA from 1 species
UACUUAUAUGUGUGGGUCAUUUGGUGACUAGUAAGACAGAAAUAAAAUGUGCAGUGGUUCUCUCUGGUGGCUAAAUAGUACUGUAGUGUGCAGGUU